ACCCAAAUGGCGGAAUUGGUAGACGCGCUAGUUUCAGGGACUAGUAUCCGAAAGGAUGUGCAGGUUCGAGUCCUGUUUUGGGUA
rnacentral:tRNA from 1 species